rnacentral:sRNA from 1 species
CACUUAGAAAAACUCAGUGUGAGACAAAGAAAGCCAGAUGAAGACAUGAAAUUAUAUCAGACACCUCUGGAACUCAAAUUAAAACACAGCACUGUCCAUGUGGAUGAACUGUGUCCUCUCAUUGUCCCCAAUCCGGGAGUUGCUGUCAUUCAUGACUAUGCAGAUUGGGUUAAAGAAGCAUCAGGAGACUUACCAGAAGCACAAAUUGUGAAGCACUGGAGCCUGACAUGGACACUAUGUGAAGCCCUAUGGGGCCACCUGAAGGAGCUUGACAGCCAGCUAAAUGAACCCUGUGAAUACAUUCAAAUUCUGGAGCGAAGAAGAGCUUUCUCCCGCUGGCUAUCCUGUACUGCCACACCUCAGAUUGAAGAGGAAGUCUCCUUAACCCAAAAAAACAGCCCUGUGGAGGCUGUAUUCAGCUACCUCACAGGCAAAAGGAUCAGUGAGGCCUGCUCUCUGGCCCAGCAGUCAGGUGGGGAAGGCAUAUGGUCCUUCUCUGCGCCUCUGUCACCUUCCUACUCAAUGCCUCCUACCGCUCCCCCCA